CUUCCCAGUUGACUACCACAUUUUCUCCUGUAGUAGAGCUUAGUGGCUAUGCUUAUGGGAUAGAGUAAAGGUGCUGUGAUCUGAAGAGGGAGGGCUUUUCCGUGUCCUCCUCCUAUAUGAAAUGGCUCCACAGAAAACU
ensembl:snoRNA predicted gene, 26130